UACGGAGGAUGCGAGCGUUAUCCGGAUUUAUUGGGUUUAAAGGGUGCGUAGACGGGAAAUUAAGUUAGUUGUGAAAUCCCUCGGCUUAACUGAGGAACUGCAACUAAAACUGAUUUUCUUGAGUACUGGAGAGGAAAGUGGAAUUCCUAGUGUAGCGGUGAAAUGCGUAGAUAUUAGGAGGAACACCAGUGGCGAAGGCGACCUGCUAGAACAUAACUGACGCUGAUGCGCGAAGGCGUGGGGAGCAAACAGG
rnacentral:rRNA from 1 species